rnacentral:tRNA from 1 species
GCCAAGAUGGCGGAACGGCUACGCAAUCGCCUGCAGAGCGAUUUCACUCCGGUUCGAAUCCGGAUCUUGGCU